rnacentral:rRNA from 1 species
GGCCACUGCUAUUGGGGUUCGACUAAGCCAUGCGAGUCUAUGGACUUCGGUCCAUGGCGGACGGCUCAGUAACACGUGGCUAACUGCCCUCAGGUGGGGGAUAACCUUGGGAAACUGAGGAUAAUACCCCAUAGGGGAAGAGGUCUGGAAUGAUCCUUCCUUGAAAGGACAUCCGCCUGAGGAUGGGGCUGCGUCCGAUUAGGUAGUUGGUGGGGUAAUGGCCCACCAAGCCUACGAUCGGUACGGGCCUUGAGAGAGGAAGCCCGGAGAUGGGGACUGAGACACGGCCCCAGGCCCUACGGGGCGCAGCAGGCGCGAAACCUCCACAAUGCACGAAAGUGCGAUGGGGGGACCCCAAGUGCCUAUGCACAGCAUAGGCUUUUCCCAAGUGUAAAUAGCUUGGGGAAUAAGGGCUGGGCAAGUCCGGUGCCAGCAGCCGCGGUAACACCGGCGGCCCGAGUGGUGGCCACUCUUAUUGGGCCUAAAGCGUCCGUAGCCGGUCCAGUAAGUCCCUGUUUAAAUCCUACGGCUCAACCGUAGGGCUGGCAGGGAUACUGCUGGACUUGGGACCGGGAGAGGACGAGGGUACUCCAGGGGUAGCGGUGAAAUGCGUUGAUCCCUGGAGGACCACCUAUGGCGAAGGCACUCGUCUGGAACGAGUCCGACGGUGAGGGACGAAAGCCAGGGGCGCGAACCGGAUUAGAUACCCGGGUAGUCAUGGCCGUAAACUCUGCGGACUAGGUGUCGCCUGGGCCUUGGGUCCAGGUGGUGCCGAAGGGAAGCCAUUAAGUCCGCCGCCUGGGGAGUACGGUCGCAAGACUGAAACUUAAGGGAAUUGGCGGGGGAGCACCACAACGGUUGAUCCUGCCGG